GAGAAUUUCGUGGGGAAUCUAGAGGUGAUCUCAGGAACGCGAGAGGAGGCUUCGUUUGAGUGGGGAAGCAUUUGGAGACCGUUCGGAGGGGAAAAGCUCCGGUACCGUGAGUUGGAGCACGCGUGUUCGGCUUUCAGGUCCGAGCACUAGUAGCCAGCGUUGAUCGAGCU